UGGCGGCAGGCUUAACACAUGSAAGUCSAGCGGAAACGAUGAUAGCUUGCUAUCAGGCGUCGAGCGGCGGACGGGUGAGUAAUACUUAGGAAUCUACCUAGUAGUGGGGGAUAGCACGGGGAAACUCGUAUUAAUACCGCAUACGACCUACGGGAGAAAGGGGGCAGUUUACUGCUCUCGCUAUUAGAUGAGCCUAAGUCGGAUUAGCUAGAUGGUGGGGUAAAGGCCUACCAUGGCGACGAUCUGUAGCUGGUCUGAGAGGAUGAUCAGCCACACCGGGACUGAGACACGGCCCGGACUCCUACGGGAGGCAGCAGUGGGGAAUAUUGGACAAUGGGGGAAACCCUGAUCCAGCCAUGCCGCGUGUGUGAAGAAGGCCUUUUGGUUGUAAAGCACUUUAAGCAGUGAAGAAGACUCCAUGGUUAAUACCCAUGGACGAUGACAUUAGCUGCAGAAUAAGCACCGGCUAACUCUGUGCCAGCAGCCGCGGUAAUACAGAGGGUGCAAGCGUUAAUCGGAAUUACUGGGCGUAAAGGGAGCGUAGGUGGCUCUAUAAGUCAGAUGUGAAAUCCCCGGGCUUAACCUGGGAACUGCAUCUGAAACUGUAGAGCUAGAGUAUGUGAGAGGAAGGUAGAAUUCCAGGUGUAGCGGUGAAAUGCGUAGAGAUCUGGAGGAAUACCGAUGGCGAAGGCAGCYUUCUGGCAUAAUAC
rnacentral:rRNA from 1 species